rnacentral:lncRNA from 1 species
UGUGAGGUGCCAGAGGUGGAAUCGGAAGGGAGAGCUCCUUGCCCCUGCUGUGUCUCUCUAGCACCCUCUACUCACAAAGCGUGGUAUCAUGCCAGCUGGCCAAGGAAACAUUGUUAAAGGAUUCUACAAUUUCCCAGAACAGGCAAUUAAGGGUGAAUUUGGAGCUGAGAAGCAAGAGAUUGAUCACGGGCACAGCAGGACUCAGGGCUGCACUGAAUCUGAGAUCUUCGUCACGCUCGGGUAACUGGAGUGCCCAUAACCCACGCCCUAGACCAGCUUGAAAGCAGAACCAAAGAACUGGUUGGGGGUUGGUAGUUGGAGUCGCCCCUGCAGAGAGACCUAGAAUUUUCGAAGAGCGAAGGAAGGAAAAACUGACGGAGGGCUAUCUGAGGACGCAGGUUCCCAUGACUGAAAGCUCUGUAACCGUAACUGGCAUCUCUUGCCCCGAACAAUGAGUGUGCGCUCCCGAGGUUGCACAAUCUUUAACGUGACUCAACUGCAACUCGGCGUUCCUGGAUUUUAAUCUCCCGAACUUCCUUGUUCCUAGAGUGAUGUUUGUCUGAAUCACAGGAUUUACAAGUUAAAUAUUUAAAACCUCCAUCUUCUUGGAAUGAGCAAGUACUUAGUGCCAAUACGUUUCUUAAUUAACUCUAAACUAGUUCAAAAAUUAACUCUAAAUGAUAUUUGUCUCUAAAGAUUUUUAAUUAUUGAGAGGAAGAGAAAUACCAGACUGCUCCAAACUUAUAGUUUUAGAUAAUAUGAAAUUAGUAUCUCUUUUUUUUUUUAACCCUUCUAGAAGUUUCUAGUUCCGCAAACAAGCAAGAUAUGGCUCCAAGAAGCUUACUUAACAUAGGAAGACAAUGAGUCAGAGCUCUGGAAUGUGAGAACUGGAUGAGACCUUGGAGACCAUUCAAGUAGUCCUAUCUUUCCUUUCACAGAUGGGGAAACUGAGUCCUGGGGAUCUUUGUCCCAAAUCUCACGGUUACUGAACGGCUACGUUGGAACUAGAUGCAAGGUCUUGCAAUUUUCUCUAAAUUUUCUACAUGGCCACCUCAAAAAGAAAGCAUGCUGCACCUUUCAUUUUCUGGUGCAAAGCAGAAGAAAUGCGGAAGGAAGAGAAGGAGAAAGAAUCAAAGCCUUCAAAAAAAGACAUGUUAUUGCAAGGCCACUCCCUGUUUUCCACAUUCUUGACAGAGCAGCCCCAAGUUCGCUGAGGAGGUGGCAGUGGAAGAGGAGCUGGAAAACAGCCUCGGGUGCUUGGGUUCCGAAGCCCAGACAGAGUCUAAUCCAGAAGGAACCACUGGCCUCUGGAAUCGCAACUUAACCCCUUCAUAGCUUAAAGACAGACAAGAUCAGAAAGGCAGGCCUCUGGAAAGAAAUGAAGAUCACCUGAAAGUGUAAAUAAGUGAAUAAACAUGAAAGACAAUU